rnacentral:rRNA from 1 species
AUUGAACGCUGGCGGCAGGCCUAACACAUGCAAGUCGAACGAGUGGCGGACGGGUGAGUAAUGUCUGGGAAACUGCCCGCUGGAGGGGGAUAACUACUGGAAACGGUAGCUAAUACCGCAUACCAUCGGAUGUGCCCAGAUGGGCUUAGCUAGUAGGUGGGGUAACGGCUCACCUAGGCGACGAUCCCUAGCUGGUCUGAUAGGAUGACCAGCGAGACUGGAACUGAGACCCGGUCCAGACUCCUACGGGAGGCAGCAGUGGGGAAUAGUGCACAGUGGGCGCAAGCCUGAGGCAGCCAUGCCGCGUGUAUGAAGAAGGCCUUCGGGUUGUAAAGUACUUUCAGCGAGGAGGCGUUACGCGCUGAAGAAGCACCGGCUAACGCCGUGCCAGCAGCCGCGGUAAUAC